rnacentral:rRNA from 1 species
AUGGAAAGCGUUUUGGUUAGCGCGACGACCGGAGCGAUGACAUCCCUCUUGGGGAAGUUGGGAACCAUGCUGCCAAUGAGCACAAGCUUCUCAAGGAUGUCCAUCAUGAGUCAUGCAAUCAAGCUCCUCAAGGAUGAGCUCAAGGCCAUGCAAGCAUUCCUGAUGAUGGCAGAUGUGGAGGAGCCUGACCACCAAGACAAGCUUCAUGCAGAUGUUGUGUGAGAGCUGUCAUAUGAUAUUGAGGACAGCAUCAACAAGUUCAUGUUACUUGUGAACCAUGACUCCGCUUCCAAGUCGAAAAGCUUCAAGGAGAUUCGUGGCAAAAUAAAAAAAAUAUUGGACAUCAACACUCGCCAUAGGAUCACCAAUGAUGUAAGGUGGGGGGGGGCUUUGCCCCCCCACACCCCCACCCCGAACAGUAAGCUCCACCAUAGCACAUAUGGUUACCCCUUAAACUUUGUUACUUAUAUCUAA